rnacentral:tRNA from 1 species
AUUUAAAUAGUUUAAUUAAAAUAUAAACUUGUGGCGUUUGUGAUGUGAUUUUUUCACUUUAAAUA